rnacentral:rRNA from 1 species
CGUAGGUGGCAAGCGUUGUCCGGAUUUACUGGGCGUAAAGGGCGUGCAGGCGGUUUGUUAAGUGCAGAGUGAAAGCUCCCGGCUCAACUGGGAGAGGUCUUUGCAUACUGGCAAACUCGAGGGAGGCAGAGGAAAGUGGAAUUCCCGGUGUAGUGGUGAUAUGCGUAGAUAUCGGGAGGAACACCUGUGGCGAAGGCGGCUUUCUGGGCCUUACCUGACGCUGAGACGCGAAAGCGUGGGGAGCGAACCGGAUUAGAUACCCGGGUAGUCCACGCCGUAAACUAUGGACACUAGGUGUGGGGGGUAUCGACCCCCUCCGUGCCGAAGCUAACGCAAUAAGUGUCCCGCCUGGGGAGUACGGCCGCAAGGCUA